UACGUAGGGGGCAAGCGUUGUCCGGAAUUAUUGGGCGUAAAGCGCGCGCAGGCGGUUUCUUAAGUCUGAUGUGAAAGCCCCCGGCUCAACCGGGGAGGGUCAUUGGAAACUGGGAAACUUGAGUGCAGAAGAGGAAGGUGGAAUUCCAAGUGUAGCGGUGAAAUGCGUAGAGAUUUGGAGGAACACCAGUGGCGAAGGCGACUUUCUGGUCUGUAACUGACGCUGAGGCGCGAAAGCGUGGGGAGCAAACAGG
rnacentral:rRNA from 1 species